rnacentral:RNase_P_RNA from 1 species
GCGGAUUGGACAGCGGCGGGCCGAAAGGCGUGAGGAAAGUCCGGGCUUCACAGGGCAGGAUACCUGCUAACGGCAGGCCGAGGCGACUCGAGGGAAAGUGCAACAGAAAGAUACCGCCGCCCCCCAGGGCGGUAAGGAUGGAAAGGCGAGGUAAGAGCUCACCGGGGCGCGGGUGACCGCGCUGCCAUGUAAACCCUAUCCGAAGCAACAUCAGCUGGAACAAUACAGCGGCCCGUUGUGUUCCGAAAGAUGGCUUGAGCCAAGGGGCAACCCUUGGCCUAGAAAGAUCGUUGUCCACGACAGAACCCGGCUUACAGAUCCCCUCU